rnacentral:rRNA from 1 species
UACAGAGGGUGCGAGCGUUAAUCGGAAUUACUGGGCGUAAAGCGUGCGUGGACGGUUACGUAAGUCGGAUGUGAAAUCCCCGGGCUCAACCUGGGAAUUGCAUUCGAGACUGCGCAGCUGGGGUGCGGAAGAGGGAAGCGGAAUUUCCGGUGUAGCGGUGAAAUGCGUAGAUAUCGGAAGGAACAUCAGUGGCGAAAGCGGCUUCCUGGUCCAGCACCGACGUUCAGGCACGAAAGCGUGGGGAGCAAACAGG